CAAAUCCCCAGGAAAACUCUCCCUGUAGAAGAGGCAGGAGGCAGCUGAAACAGCUCAGUAACCUCCAGGAUGUGUUAAGGCAAAACACUGCUGUAGAAAGGACGGGAGGAAACUGCUGGUGCAAUAGGACGUUAGUGGCUUGUUUGGUUAAAAGACUAGAGAGGAAUGGAAAUACUCAAGCUCAAUGGUGCGCAUUCGGCACCAGCCAAAGGUGCCCUGGCAGAGGGGCUGUCCUUGGCUGACCUCUGCAUGUAGGGCAGUGGGUUGCCCUCCUGCAGGCCGAGCAGGUGGCUUGGCUCCUCCGGACCUUUGUCAUAUCAAAGGCCACCGAAAGGCCACCCUGGCCUGUGUGUUCCAUUAAAUCCAGUUUUCCGGAAAAGCAGGUAAUACCAAUUUGAAGUCAUCAAAUGACAAGGACCUGUAGGUUUUUACUUCUGAUUUUGUUUGUAUGAGCUUUUUCUUUUCUUUGCCUACAUCAGUUGCUUAAAAUAUAUAUCAUCUUUCUGACUUGCCUUUGUCGAGGUGUAGCUUCCAGCUCUUUAUUCUUGUGAGGCCUUUCUCUAGGAAUCUGGAGGGCCUUUUGAUGGGCUGAAACAUCUGUCCUUUGAAAACAGCAAGAAAACUGAUCCAUUCUCAGUCUUCUUUCUGAAGACAGAGUGAACUCCCACAUUUACUCUGAAGAUAAUCCUGAGCUGCUGUGAAAGCAGAACAAUGAUUAGAUAUGUUACUUAUAUUUGACUCAUAUCACAUCAUAAUUUACACAGUUGCAUGAUUCAAAUCAUUAACCAGGUGGGUGACUUUUUUGACAAGUUAUCAAUCCAUAUGGUAAAAAAAAAAAUGUUACAAAUAAUCCACUGCUUAUGUCCUUUAUAAAACUUGU